UGAAUGACAAGGGGCUGUCGCUGGCCCUCUUGGGGGGUAAGUGCACGUCUCUUCCUUUAUCUCCCACCUGUGCACUGAUUUGUAGACCCCUUUGGUGUCUAUGAUAUCACAUACAAGAAUGUAUUAGUUUUGUGUAUUAUAAAACAAAAAGUACAACUUUCAACAAUGGAUCUCUUGGCUCUUGCAUCGAUGAAGAACGCAGCGAAAUGCGAUAAGUAAUGUGAAUUGCAGAAUUCAGUGAAUCAUCGAAUCUUUGAACGCAUCUUGCGCUCCUUGGCAUUCCGAGGAGCAUGCCUGUUUGAGUGUCAUUAAUCUCUCAAAACAUUUGUUUUGGAUUUUGGGGGGGGCCAUUGCGGGUGGGUUGAACCCACCUCCCCUUAAAAUUAGGGAAAAUAAACGGCCUUUCCCCCUCAUUGUUAGAAUAAUUAACCUAUGCCAGGUAAGGGAAGGGAAAAGGCUUUGUUGACCAAAUUGACUUCAAAUCAGUUAGAAUAACCCCCGAACCUUAACCAUAUCAAUAGGCGAAGGAAAAAAAAUUACAAAGGAUUCCCCUAUUACUGCCAAUGGAAGGGGGAAAAGCUCAAAUUUAAAAUCUGGCAGUCUUUGGUUGUCCAAGUUGUAUUCAAAAAAAUUGUUGCCCACACUGGAACCGGGACCAAGUUCCUCUGGA
rnacentral:misc_RNA from 1 species